CAUUCUCUUUACCCACGAAACUCCUCUCUCUGUGUCUCUGGGGAUUAGAGGCUUUAGUUUAAGCCUUUGCCUCUCUGAGAAAAACAAGAAAUCAAAGGGAAGGCAAGAAAUCGAAAAGGAAGAACAAGAAUUCGACAGUAGGCAAAUCAGGUGUGGUUCAUAUUUAGAUGUGCAUUGCAAUUCGCAUUUAAAUAUUGAGCAGUGUUGGUGACGUUCUCUCUCUGUAGAUCGCAGGUAAAAGAUCGCUGGGAAUUUUGCUUUUUAAACCCAUGAGCACCCAUGAUCACCCAUAUUUAAUUCUUGCACAAAAAUUUUAUUAUAUAUUUUUCCAAGGCUAUAAUAAAAAACCAUUUCCAGGGAUUCCUUAUCUUGGUCUGCUAAAUCUUUAUCUCUUCAAUCAACUGUCCUUUUACCAACAUCAUUAUCAGAAGACUCUGAAUUUAAAGAAGAAGCAUUUUCCUCUGCAAGUUGUUCAUCAAAGUCCCAUAUUGAAAUUUCUUAACUUAGGUGGGGGUGGUGGAUCUUGUUGUAUUCAAUUCUAGAGGGCUUUAUGCUUGAAUCUUGCUCUGUGAAGUUAGCAAUUACGGCUGAGAUGUUUAGGAUUAGGUUUGUGCUUUUGGAAAUGGAGAUAGAUGGUAUUUUCUCAUGCAUUUCAUGGUCUGGAUGUAGUUUAUCCAGAAUCCUCUUUCUCAUGCGUCACUCUUUUUUGUCAAAAAGACGUAGUAUUUCUUGAAAUGUGAGUGUCUCCUUCUUUAUGGUGUCUCUAGAGUUUUAUGUUGUAAUUUGAUCAAUGGAUUUGAGUUGGGAUCUACAGUUUUAUGUUGUAAUUUGAUCAAUGGAUUUGAGUUGGGAUAAAAAGAUUGUUUAUUUAAAAAUUAUGGCCAAACAAAUGCUCUUAACAUAAUUUUUGAAGAUUGCUUUUCAAUUUUUAUUUCCUUAAACAUAACCCCAGCCAAAUCUGAAGAGCUUGAAAUCAUAAUAUGGUUAUGGAGUGGAAGUCUAUGAUUUUUGCAAUUUUAUUUUUAUUUUUGCAUUUCUUUUUUGUGAAUAAGCUAUUGAUUCCUAUUAUUUGCUUAUACUUUCUGUGAGGUCUUUUCAUUUUUGCAACUACGAGGAUUGUGGAAUUCAAAAGUUGGUCUCGUUUAAAUGCAGUAAAAAACUGUCCCCUAUGUUAAGCAUCUGUUUGGAUGUUUGCUUAUAAGGAAACCUAUUCACAGGGUUCAUUUGUUGCAUGAUGACAUUGGAAUAAUUACAAUGUUUUUAGUAUUUAAUGCUCCUUUCUGAGUUCAUUCUUCCCAAAAGAGUAUAUUUUCUUUGCUAUAUUCAUUUUAGGUUAGCAAAGCUAUCUUCAGAAAAGGGUAAUGGUGUUUUCCUUGCUAUAUUCAUUUUAGGUUAGCAAAGCUAUCUUCACAAAAGGGUAAGGGUGUUUCUUUGCUAUCUUUCAUUUAAGUCUGAUAUGUGCUUCACAAAAGGGUGUUUACUUUGCUAUUUUUCAUUUAAGUCUGAUACGUGCUGCUUCAUUCCUGCAUCCAAACUUUCCCUAAAGUAGCAAUGAGUACUUGUUUCCAUCUUUUGGAAUA